rnacentral:lncRNA from 1 species
GAGGCGAGCCGAACCGCCGAACUUGGGCGGCCCGCGCGGGGCGGCGGCCGGGAGAGAGGGCUCCGUUUGGCUCCCGCUUUCCAGGCGCCGCCAGAGCCCGGAGCGCCUUUCUCCCUGGCCUGGCUGGCUGGCUGGCUCCCCCUCUCCCCCGUCUCUCCUGCGGUCCAUCCUCUUGACCUUCCAGGAACGGCGGUUUGGUUCUCCCACGUCUCUAAAGUAAACCAAGUGGAUAGGCUUUCCACUCUGUCUCAACUCUGGGCCGUGUCGGGGUGGCGGAGUUCCUCCUUCAUAUCAAAUAUAAACUAAGGGAAAACUUCAACGGGUUCGUUAAUGCUGGAGAGUGCCGUGAGAGGCUGUCCUGCCCCUGGGAUUUCUUUCGCUCACCUCCAUUGGAAGAAUCGAUCUUCUGAAAUAAAACACACCAGGCAAAUAUCCAGGAAUUUAAAGAGACGUUGGCGGAAAAAAGAAAACCAGUUGUGUGCGGACCAUUUGGGG